rnacentral:rRNA from 1 species
AUGGGCUACAUGUCCUCCUCUAUGUUCCAUUCCUAUGUGUUCUUCAUGGAUGGCACGAUCCAUAGCGGUGGGCAACAUGAAUCAUUGUCACAGCUUUCUAGUCUGGUUCCACACGAUGGAGAGUCAUCCAAUCUAAAGCGGCAUAAAUCAGGGAUAGCGUGUCCCAGCAUGUUGUUCAUCCGGCGGUGCACACUGAAGACACAACCAUGCUUCAUGAACAUCAAGCCUUACAUGUCGUGCACGGAAGGGAAAGUACACCUGCGUAGUGGCCUAGUGGGUACUCUCGGUGCUCUAUUCAGCCGCUCCUCUCAUGUAGCUGGCCUACUCAGCUGCUCCUCUCACGCACACACUAGCAUCCUGUUUAUCAACGACGGUUACCACGGGGGCAGAAUAUUUGAGUUAUUUGAUACAGCAAGACUAGGAUUUUCGCUUCCAUUUGUGGAGAAAAGCAAUCAAGCCCCCCCCCCCACGGAGGGCAUCUCCUUCCUCUCACCGGGAAGAAGCAGGACGACGGCAGCUGAGUGGAGCUGCAGGCGAGGAACGGCAGCGUGGCGGCGGGAUCCGGCCAGGAAGGGCCUACAGGCAGGGGAUCCGGCGAAACUGGAGGCGGCGCGACGAACUGAGAGGGGGCGAUGGCCUCGGCUCCUGCAGCAAAACGACAGCGAGGCGGAGAAGUCAGCAGCGGCGCAGCACGAGGAUAAGAAAGGGACCGGAGGCGGCGCAAGGAGCUCACUAGUGGGCGGUGAGGACGAUGCAGAGGUCCAAGAGCGGACGAGGCAGGGACGACGCGGUCCUCUGCUCGCUCGACAUGAAGCAGCGGCGGCACGCCGCAGCUCCAUUGCCAUGGCCGUCGCUGAGCAGUGUGGCUCCCAGACGAGUCGGGGUCAUAGAGAAGGGCGCGGCCGUGUGGUCCAUAGCUUGCCGGGCGCGCCGAGCAGGAGGCCAAGGCGCUGUGACAUGGGCACACCGAGCAGGAGGCCGUGGGGCUGUGCCGCGGGCGCGCCGACCUGCUCGCGGUCACCGUCUGCCACCGUGACACGCUCGGGGGCGCGCACGCCGCGCUCGACUGCUCGCUCAUGUCCAUCUCCUAUCUGCUCCACCUCCUCCUCAUCUCCAUGUCCGCCCUGCCGGGGCUCACGCUCCCUGCCACGGCAUCCCGAUGGAAACAGAGUCGUCCGUGACCCGGACUCGUCCAUCGAUUAUGCCUGCGCUGCUCCAUUCGAUCUCGGAUUAAGUCAUCACUGCUGCCGAUUCAAGAGACACCAAAUGCAACUCCGAUCUGCCAAGACCAAGUCAAUGCAAAAGUGGACUUCAAUGAUUUUGCUGCAACCGCUCGGGGUUUCGUUUCGAGGCAGGGCGACCGCGGGCGACGGGCUUGUUCGCGCAGGGCGGCGGCGGCGGCCUAGGGCGGAUCUCUAUUCUCCGGCUAUCUAUGCCCCCCCGAUAGUAACUCUCCCCUCGAGCUUUCCAUUUUCGUUUUUGUCUUCCCCUCCCCCGUUGGAUUUAGGGUUAGGGCGUGGAGAGCCGCGGGCCGGCGCCGGCGCCGGCGCGGACGAGGAUGGGUUGGUGUUCCUGCAGGUCGAGGGAGGCGGCGGGGUUGCGUUCCCGCGAGCAGAGGGAGGGGGCGGGGUGGGGUUCCCGCGGGCAGAGGGAGGGGGCGCGGUGGUGAAUUUGAAUCUGGCCGCUAUGGAUUUGGGAUGGGAAUAUGGUAGCUGCAACCUGCGUACUGGUUUUGCUGGAACCGGUGACCGCGGCGAGCUGCAGAGCUCAAAACGGCCUCUUGGUGCUGCAAAAUCUCCUAGGUUUUAUUCUAUAGCAGACGUUUUACAGAAUUUUUUAGGUGUUCAUAUGUUGCAGAGAAUCAUAAGGGAGGGCCCGUUUGGAGACUUGUUGGACAUCCGGUCUUUCAAGGUGCCCCAUGAGCUCAUUGAGUUUGUUGCGAUGAACACGAAUCACGUACUCUCUGAGUUCAAACACAAGAACAAAUCUAUCACCUUCAGCAAGCUUAUGGUGAAAAGGAUUUUCAACGUGCCAUCCGGUGAUAGACCCGUGAAGCUUCUAAAGAAGAGUGAUGAACAUGAUCUUCGCAACAUCUACAAGGAGGGGAAUAGGGCUCCAAUCGCCCAUGUUGUCAAGUUGCUCACUAGUUGCAGUGAGGAGGACGUGGUUAUGAUAAAUAGGACUUGGGCACUCCUUGCGUUGGCAACAGUUUUGUGCCCAGGCACAGGCAAUAUGGUGAAUCUCGAGUAUCUUGCUUCCCUCGAAGAUAUGUCUUUGGUGCAUGAAUUCGUUUGGGAUGAGCACUUGUUGGCACGAGCUAUGGAGGAGGUUGGAGUCUUUCAAGAGAAGAAGAGGAUGCAAGCAAACGCAGAAAAAGAGUUUCAGAUUGCUUCAUGCCUUCCCAUGUUAGCGAUCAUAUACAUGGAUCAUGUUGAUAUUCCGGCUGGCCUCCCAAAUGAGCAUGCUAUUGAUUAUUCUGUGCCAAGGAUACGUUUUGUUUGUCAAAAGGAUUUUGAGUGGUUGGAUAAAGUUGACAAAAACCAGCUCACUCUUGUCCAACCUUUCUACGGGAAACACACCCAUAUCCUGAGUUUGUGCAACACCCCCUAUGCAGCACAACUUGUGGGACAGGAAGUUGGUGCUAAAGCAGCUAGUGGGAAGGGAGUUGGUGCUGAAGCAGCUAGUGGGAAGGGAGUUGGUGCUGAAGCACCUAGUGGCCAAGGAACUAGUGGCCAAGGCAGCCAAAUUCAAGGUGCUGAAAUUCAAGCAAAGGACUCUCAAUCAAAUGAGGCUCAACAAAAUGUUGAUGCUGAACCACACCUAUCAUCAUCGCUCAACGAUUGGCUGCAGCAAUCAUUCCCUAGCAUGCAAGAUCUAAGGGUACCAACUCAGUUUCAAAUGCUUUACCACAAGCACAAGGGUAUUUUUGCAUCGGAGGUGGAUGAUGUUGUUGGCAAGUUUGGACAGUGUUUAAAGGGAUUGCAGUGCAACCGGAUGGCUGCCCUCCUUUGUGAUGUUGGAGACGCCAUCACAGCUACCAGUGAUCCCAACUUCUCCUUUGAAACACCUAUCAUGGACGAAUGUCGCGGAAAAGAGAAUGAUGCUAAAGCUGCAAAUGCUGGCAUUGGUGCUCAAGCUCAAGCUGAAGGUACACCACCUAGCAUUAACAAGGAUGAAGUCACCGGAUUGAAGCAACAAGUUGCAACACGGGCUGCUGAAACUCCUGAGCAACAACGAGUGAGUUUCGAGAUGGAAGGCAACAUCUCACCUCACAGUCCCCCACUCUUCUAUGAUGCACCCAGGAGUGCAACAGCCGGCAUUUGGGAUGACGAGCCAUCCUGUGAGUUGUUCCCAAAGGGCUCCGAAGACUACGAGAUGAUGCAUUGCACGGAUGAGCCUAUAACCAAGAAGAGCGCAGUCAGCCCCAUAUUUGAAAACAUCCCGGUGUUCCCUGUUUCAGACGAUGAUGACAGCCCAACAAAUUCUCUUUUGUACAAUCCCUUGCAAACUCAUCCAUUUUUGUUGCUUGCUAUAGCUCCUAAGAUGGUCGCUCCAGAAGAGCAAAUUGUUGAUGCAAGCAGUGGCCCUAGCACACAUGACAAGAACACUAGGAAGAAGAGGAUGGCCAAAGUUCCAGCCGUAAAAAAUACCAAGGCAAAGAAGCAAAAGGUCGAUGCAGCUGCAGCCACGUAUGAGAAGUAUGUAAAGCAUGGGAAACCAUUGAGGAGAUCACAUGCCAAUGAACAAGUUUGCAUCUAUGGUAACAGGACACCUUUCAUCAAGAUAGGUGGAUUUUACAUUGGAUACAAGAAAUUCCUGGUAUGCUUCAAGCCUCGCGGGGAUAUGAAUGAUGAGGUUAUGUCCCUAUGUAUCGAGAUGAACAACAUAGCAUCCCGUGCAGCAAGUGGUACUAAUCUGAAGAAAUACAUGUUCUCAAUCCAUGCGGGGAUCUUACUAAAACAAGACCCAACAACCUUCCAACCAGCAAAACUCAUAGCCGAGCUUGAAAGGGCUGUGACAAAGUUCAAGGCGAAUAAAUAUGACUUCAUCACAAACUUUGCAGCCCUCGCACAAGAGUACAGCGAAUUCAAUGUCAAUGUUGGAUCCUUCGCCUGUGUUGACCUAGAGGAUUACCCAAAGCAAGAUAAUCUAUGUGAUUGUGGCUUUUUCGGGCUCAAAUAUGUGGAGAACUUUGAUGGGAAGUCAAUGAAAGAGUUCAAGCAGGAAGACGUGGCGCGAUACCGCAUGGAUGUGGCGCACAACCUUUGCACUCACCCAAUGAACAAUGCCCCAAUGGAGCGGGCAUUCAAGGAAGAGUUGGCGGCUUAA